rnacentral:rRNA from 1 species
CACGUAGGUGGCAAGCGUUGUCCGGAUUUACUGGGCGUAAAGAGCGCGCAGGCGGUCGAAUAAGUCGAAUGUGAAAGCCCCCGGCUCAACUGGGGAGGGUCAUUCGAUACUGUUCGACUUGAAGGCAGGAGAGGGAAGCAGAAUUCCCGGUGUAGUGGUGAAAUGCGUAGAUAUCUGGAGGAACACCGGUGGCGAAGGCGGCAUCCUGGACCGGUAUUGACGCUGAGGCGCGAAAGCCAGGGGAGCAAACGGG